rnacentral:lncRNA from 13 species
GUAAAAGCAAUGGAGAGCUGGGAUAUGCCUGUGAGCACAUCCAGCACAGAUAUCUUGUGCUACGUGUCUGAUAAGGACGAGCUGCGUUCCCAGAUUUCCACGUUUAUGCUCACUCCUCUGGUACCUCAUGGAUGAAUUAAGCAGGCACUGGGACCCCCAGCCCAAGGACCCUCCUGCCUCGAAGUGCCUGGCUCCCCCAGCCCAGGAAUCCAGCUCCCUCAGGAGGACCUGGCUCACCCCCACCUGGCGGAGAAUCAGGUCCGAGACCAGGCAGGGAACCAUGCAGGACAGACCGCACCAUCACAGUGUCCCCAUCACCCUGUGCUCCAAUCUGAGGGGCAAGGCACCAAGAGACCUCUCAGACACCAGAUACUGAGCCCAGCCUCCACAUGACUCAGACGAAAGGCAGCUCCCUGAAGGGCACUGGAGAGGCCAGACCCAUCCGUGCAAGCCCACAGCCCAAUCUGCAGCACCCACAGCCUCUGAGAGCAGCAGGGGCCUCUCGCCCUCAAGCCCCCUUCAAGAGCAUCCAGACAACAAGCCUUGAGCCAAGGAGUCAAGAGAAUCAGUGUCCCUGGCCCGGGGAGGAUUCAGGGAGAGGGCAUGGGCAGGAGCCCUGGCCCAGAGCCAGAACCAAGAGUUCAGCCAGCAAAACUGGAGCGAGGGUCCCCCGCACCCAGGCCUCUGUGAGCAUCCCCCAUCAACAAGGCCCUCUGCGAAAGAGACGGGCUGGCCCUCCCCAGCACACCAGGCCAGCUCCAGCAGUGUUACAGGCGGCCCCUCCUGAACAAGAGCCUGUCCUCCCCCACCCUGGACCACCCAGGCUGUCCCUGAGGCUGAGGCCCAGAGGCAGAAGAGGACUUCCGUAG